CCUACGGGUGUCAGCAGUCGAGAAUCAUUCACAAUGGGGGAAACCCUGAUGGUGCGACGCCGCGUGGGGGAAUGAAGUUCUUCGGAUUGUAAACCCCUGUCAUGUGGGAGCAAAUUAAAAAGAUAGUACAACAAGAGGAAGAGAAGGCUAACUCUGUGCCCGCAGCCGCGGGAAUACGGAGGUCUCAAGCGUUGUUCGGAAUCACUGGGCGUAAAGAGUGCGUAGGCAGUUUCGUAAGUCGUGGGUGAAGUGCGCGGGCUCAACCCCCGGACGGCACAUGAUACUGCGAGACUAGAGUAAUGGAGGGGGAACCGGAAUUCUCGGUGUAGCAGUGAAAUGCGUAGAUAUCGAGAGGAACACUCGUGGCGAAGGCGGGUUCCUGGACAUUAACUGACGCUGAGGCACGAAGGCCAGGGGAGCGAAAGGGAUUAGAUACCUUAGUAGUC
rnacentral:rRNA from 1 species